AAGGAGUCUAACAUAUCUGCGAGUAUUUUGGUGUCAAACCCGAGUGCGCAAUGAAAGUGAACGUAGGAGCCACGCGCAAGCUGCAGCUUCGACCGAUCUGGAUCUUUAGUGAUGGGUUUGAGUAAGAGCAUAUAUGUUAGGACCCGAAAGAUGGUGAACUAUGCCUGAAUAGGGCGAAGCCAGGGGAAACUCUGGUGGAGGCUCGUAGCGGUUCUGACGUGCAAAUCGAUCGUCAAAUUUGGGUAUAGGGGCGAAAGACUAAUCGAACCAUCUAGUAGCUGGUUCCUGC
rnacentral:misc_RNA from 1 species